rnacentral:rRNA from 1 species
UUUGAACGCCGGGCCAGGAGCCUGUGGAAUACGGAUGGGGUAGUCUGUAUCCGUAUUUAUUUGUGUUAAAGGGUCCGUAGGCGGACUUAUAAUUCAGUGGUGAAAGCCUGGCGCUUAACGAUAGAACUUCCAUUGAUACUGUAAGUCUUGAGUAUAUUUGAGGUAGCUGGAAUAAGUAGUGUAGCGGUGAAAUGCAUAGAUAUUACUUAGAACACCAAUUGCGAAGGCAGGUUACCAAGAUAUAACUGACGCUGAGGGACGAAAGCGUGGGGAGCGAACAGGAUUAGAUACCCGUGUAGUC